GGUGGGAGGAUCACUUGAGCCUGGGAUUUUUGAGGCUGCAGUGAACUGGGUCAUGCCACUGCACUCCAGCCUGGGCAACAGAGCAAGACUCCGCUCCAAAAAACAAAAUCUAGCUGCUUUGUACUGUUCCUCUUCCCUAUCCUGCUUCCCCUAUUUCCUACUGGUUUCUCCCGGGACCAUUUCUUUUUUUUUUUUUUUUUUUUUUUUGAUACAGAGUCUCACUCUGUCACCCAGACUGGAGUGCAGUGGUUUGAUCUCAGCUCACUGCAACUUCUGCCUCCUGAGUUCAAGUGAUUCUCUUGCCUCAGCAUCCUGAGUAACUGGGAUUAUAGGCACGAGCCACCAUGCCCGGCUAAUUUUGUGUAUUUUUAGUAGAGAUGGGCUUUUGCCAUGUUGGCCAGGCUGGUAUAGAACUCCCAACCUCAGGUGAUCCGCCCGCCUUGGCCUCCCAAAGUGCUGAGAUUACAGGCGUGAGCCACCAUGCCUGGCCUGUUUUUCUUAUUAAAAUAUGGAAUCCUUCACAAAUUUGUAUGUCAUCCUUGUGCAGAGGCCAUGCUAAUCUUCUCUGUAUCAUUCCAGUUUUAGUAUAUGUGCUACCGAAGUGAUCACUGCCAUUCGUUUUUUUAAAUUCAAAUGAUUAUACCUCUUCCAGGAAGGCUUCCCUGAGAGCCAUCCUCAGAAUGAUGCUCCAGAGGGGGCCCAGAACAGGUGCUCCACACUAACCCAUGCAUGUUAUUGUCCCUACCUACAUUUACCUUAGUGUUCUAUAGUGACCAUUCCAUCUCCCCGACGAUGGGGUAAGUUCCUCAAAGGUACUCUGUUCUUUUAUUUUUUAUUUUUUUUGAGACAGAGUUUUCCUCUUGUUGCCCAGGCUGGAGUGCAAUGGCAAGAUCUCGGCUCACCGCAGCCUCUGCCUCCCGGGUUCAAGCGAUUCUCCUGCCUCAGCCUCCCGAGUAGCUGGGAUUACAGGCAUGCACCACCACACCUGACUAAUUUUCUAUUUUUAGUAGAGACGGGAUUUCUCCAUGUUGGUCAGGUUGGUCUUGAACUCCCAAUCUCAGGUGAUCCGCCCGCCUCGGCCUCCCAAAGUGCUGGGAUUACAGGCAUGAACCACCGCGCCCGGCCUACUUUGUUGUUUUCUGUACCCCCAGCACCUAGCUCAGGGCCUGGCACAUAGCAGAAGCUAAAAAUAUUUGUUUACUAUCACAAA
rnacentral:lncRNA from 1 species